rnacentral:lncRNA from 1 species
UUUUCUUUUUCCACUUUGAGUCCUUCAUGUACCCAUGGGUUUAUUGGCUUACAUGUUACCAAUUUUUCUCCAAUCAAGCCAAUCUUUGCUGCCACAAGACAUUUCUCUAAGUCACUAACUCAUUUUCAAAGACUACUUAAGCCAAAAACAAGAAUUCUUACCGUUCCUUGCUUGAAUCACCAAAACCAAGCUUUUUCUUCCUUUCUCUCUUUUUCUUUCUUCUCCUCCUAGGGUUUAAAUGUGCUGGAAAUUGGGGUUAAAGGCUGUAAAUUUAGUGCUCAAGAAGUUUGGAGAAGAAAGGAAAAGAAAACAUGGAAAGGAAAAUGAAGAAAACUUGGUUUCAUGGUGGACAAA